rnacentral:rRNA from 1 species
GACGAACGCUGGCGGCGUGCUUAACACAUGCAAGUCGAACGGAAAGGCCCUGCUUUUGUGGGGUUCUCGAGUGGCGAACGGGUGAGUAACACGUGAGUAACCUGCCCUUGACUUUCGGAUAACUUCAGGAAACUGGGGCUAAUACCGUAUAGGAGCUCCUGCUCCAUGGUGAGGGUUGGAAAUUUUCGGCGGUUGGGGAUGGACUCGCGGCUUAUCAACUUGUUGGUUGGGUAGUGGCUUACCAAGGCUUUGACGGGUAGGCGGCCUGAGAGGGUGACCGGCCACAUUGGGACUGAGAGACGGCCCAGAAUCCUACGGGAGGCAGCAGUGGGGAAUAUGGCACAAUGGGCGGAAGCCUGAUGAAGCAACGCCGCGUGCGGGAUGACGGCCUUCGGGGUGUAAACCGCUUUCGCCUGUGACGAAGCGUGAGUGACGGUAAUGGGUAAAGAAGCACCGGCUAACUACGUG